GAUGAACGCUAGCGAUAGGCUUAACACAUGCAAGUCGAGGGGCAGCACAAGGUAGCUUGCUAUCUGGGUGGCGACCGGCGCACGGGUGCGUAACGCGUAUGCAACUUGCCCUAUACAGGAGGAUAACCCAUCGAAAGACGGACUAAUACUGCGUAUGCUCACAACUUGGCAUCAAGUGGUGAGGAAAGAAAUUCGGUAUAGGAUAGGCAUGCGUCCCAUUAGCUUGUUGGUGAGGUAACGGCUCACCAAGGCAACGAUGGGUAGGGGAACUGAGAGGUUUAUCCCCCACACUGGUACUGAGACACGGACCAGACUCCUACGGGAGGCAGAAGUGAGGAAUAUUGGUCAAUGGGCGCGAGCCUGAACCAGCCAAGUCGCGUGAAGGAUGACUGUCUUAUGGAUUGUAAACUUCUUUUAUACGGGAAUAACAAGAGUCACGUGUGACUCCCUGCAUGUACCGUAUGAAUAAGCAUCGGCUAACUCCGUG
rnacentral:rRNA from 1 species